rnacentral:rRNA from 1 species
GUAGGGAAUAUUGCGCAAUGGGGGAAACCCUGACGCAGCGACGCCGCGUGAGUGAUGAAGGCCUUCGGGUCGUAAAGCUCUGUUGCAGGGGAAUAAAAAAAUGAAGGCACCCUGUGAGGAAGGAUCGGCUAACUUCGUGCCAGCAGCCGCGGUAAGACGAGGGAUCCUAGCGUUGCUCGGAAUCAUUGGGCGUAAAGAGGGCGUAGGUGGCUUGGUAAGUCAGGUGUGAAAGCCCAGGGUUCAACCCUGUAAGUGCAUUUGAUACUGCUGAGCUUGAGUGUCGGAGAGGUUACCGGAAUACCUGGUGUAGUGGUGAAAUACGUAGAUAUCAGGUGGAACACCGGAGGCGAAGGCGGGUAACUGGACGAACACUGACACUGAGGCCCGAAAGCGUGGGGAUCAAACAGGAUUAGAUACCCCAGUAGUCC